AUGUCUGCGUCUCCUAAUGAGUGUUUCCCGUGCAUCAUCGUUGCAGGCUCACCUUGUGGGUCCGACACAAGCAGCCUCAGUGCUUGGCUGGAGGAGAGCUUUGGCAAAUUCUCCAUCUAUGUGGAUUACAACGACCUGCGUGAGAUCAAUGCAGGCUUUGGCAGCUUUGAGGCGCUGGACAUUCUGAGCUCUUCUCAGGUCGCUCAACUGACGCUAGAGUCUGGAGCGCUGAACAGCGCGUCUCUGAUAAACAUGGUCUUUGAACGGCUAGAGCACGGCAACUCUUUCCAGAAUGUGGAAGAGUUCUUCGUGGCCCUCCACCAGACCUCACAGGUACGUCCUCGUGACUAAGAUGGCAAGCCAUAUUUUUGGGCCUGAGUUGGCCAAUUUUAAAGUGCAUUCGUGACACAAUUCCAGUUGUGACGUUCGCUUUCUGUGUGUCAUUCCCUCCAGGAUUUGGACAUCAGUCCUGUGGUGAGGGACAUCAUGAUGAAUCGAACCUUCACUAUCAUCAGUCUUCAUUUUGCCGAAUUUGUGACCGGCGACUGGGCUUCCUGGUUCACGGUGAAACUGACGCCUCUCCUUCCCCAGCUGGACUGCAGAGAUGCUCCAGACAGCGACCGUCACACACCGACUGCAACGGAUACCACAUCAUGUACGUAGCGCUCCCUAGCUUUGUGACCGCUCUGUAACGCCCCCUCUAGUUACACUGUCAAAAAGACUGUGAGGUCGUUUCUCAAGUAGUCUCUAAAGGGUGGUGAAGAUCUACGUUAAUGAGGCAUCGUCCUUACCUUUUUGUUGUGAUCUUUGCACUCUAGGGUUGUGGCUCUGAGCAGCGUCUUUGACCAGAUGACUUUGCUGAGACGGCAGGAGCUGGCCCCAGUCCUGUUGGGCUACCUGAAGCAGAGACACGCCUCGGGUAGGUCCAGUGAAGGUGGUGCUUUUUUGUGUCGUGUGCCUAAGAGAAAAGGCCUGUGGUGCCCUGGCUUUAUGAAUGUCUGCGUCUCCUAAUGAGUGUUUCCCGUGCAUCAUCGUUGCAGGCUCACCUUGUGGGUCCGACACAAGCAGCCUCAGUGCUUGGCUGGAGGAGAGCUUUGGCAAAUUCUCCAUCUAUGUGGAUUACAACGACCUGCGUGAGAUCAAUGCAGGCUUUGGCAGCGUAAGCGGACCCGCCGUGAUACCCAUUUGUUUCCCGUGACUGUUUUGGCCAACCAUGUUACGUCUAAUGAUUUUGUUGUUUUUCUCCCCUGAAGUUUGAGGCGCUGGACAUUCUGAGCUCUUCUCAGGUCGCUCAACUGACGCUAGAGUCUGGAGCGCUGAACAGCGCGUCUCUGAUAAACAUGGUCUUUGAACGGCUAGAGCACGGCAACUCUUUCCAGAAUGUGGAAGAGUUCUUCGUGGCCCUCCACCAGACCUCACAGGUACGUCCUCGUGACUAAGAUGGCAAGCCAUAUUUUGGGCCUGAGUUGGCCAUUUUUAAAAGUGCAUUCGUGACACAAUUCCAGUUGUGACGUUCGCUUUCUGUGUGUCAUUCCCUCCAGGAUUUGGACAUCAGUCCUGUGGUGAGGGACAUCAUGAUGAAUCGAACCUUCACUAUCAUCAGUCUUCAUUUUGCCGAAUUUGUGACCGCGACUGGGCUUCCUGGUUCACGGUGAAACUGACGCCUCUCCUUCCC
ensembl:lncRNA